rnacentral:rRNA from 1 species
AUGAUGUGGUUUAAUUCGAUGCAACGCGAAAACCUUACCACCUUUGACAUGUACGGAAUCCUUUAGAGAUAGAGGAGUGCUCGAAAGAGAGCCGUAACACAGGUGCUGCAUGGCUGUCGUCAGCUCGUGUCGUGAGAUGUUGGGUUAAGUCCCCGCAACGAGCGCAACCCUUGUCAUUAGUUGCUACAUUCAGUUUGGGCACUCUAAUGAGACUGCCGGUGACAAACCGGAGGAAGGUGGGGAUGACGUCAAGUCCUCAUGGCCCUUAUAGGUGGGGCUACACACGUCAUACAAUGGAUGGUACAAAGGGUCGCCAACCCGCGAGGGGGAGCCAAUCCCAUAAAACCAUUCGUAGUCCGGAUCGCAGUCUGCAACUCGACUGCGUGAAGUCGGAAUCGCUAGUAAUCGUGGAUCAGAAUGUCACGGUGAAUACGUUCCCGGGUCUU